rnacentral:rRNA from 1 species
UCCUGGCUCAGAUUGAACGCUAGCGGCAGGCUUAAUACAUGCAAGUCGAGGGGCAGCACGGUUAGCAAUAACUGGUGGCGACCGGCGCACGGGUGCGGUAACACGUAUACAAUCUACCUUAAACAGGGGGAUAGCCUUUCGAAAGAGAGAUUAAUACCCCGUAAUAAAUUGAACGGCAUCGUUUGAUUUUGAAAGCUCCGGGCGGUUUGAGAUGAGUAUGCGUCUGAUUAGCUAGUUGGUGAGGUAACGGCUCACCAAGGCGACGAUCAUAGGGGACCUGAGAGGAUAACCCCCACACUGGUACUGAGACACGGACCAGACUCCUACGGGAGGCAGCAGUAAGGAAUAUUGGUCAAUGGAGGCAACUCUGAACCAGCCAUGCCGCGUGCAGGAUGACGGCCCUAUGGGUUGUAAACUGCUUUUAUACAAGAGAAAACCCUGGUACGUGUACCAAGUUGAUAGUAUUGUAAGAAUAAGCAUCGGCUAACUUCGUG